UACGGAGGGUGCAAGCGUUUUCCGGGUUCACUGGGUUUAAAGGGUGCGUAGGUGGGCAGGUAAGUCAGUGGUGAAAUCUCCGAGCUUAACUCGGAAACUGCCGUUGAUACUAUUUGUCUUGAAUAUUGUGGAGGUAAGCGGAAUAUGUCAUGUAGCGGUGAAAUGCUUAGAUAUGACAUAGAACACCAAUUGCGAAGGCAGCUUACUACACAACGAUUGACGCUGAGGCACGAAAGCGUGGGGAUCAAACAGG
rnacentral:rRNA from 1 species